ACAUACAUUUUUUUGUAUGAAGUCAUUAUCGGUCUAAAUAGUAAUUAUAUAUAACAUAGUGUUAAUAUAUAGGCUAUAAACAUAUUUUAAUGUUCCAUUAGAGAUAUACAGGAUUUAAUUUUGUUUGUACAUACAUUGUAUGUUUAUUGAUUUAUCAUUCAGACUAUUAAAAUUAAGUUGAUUAAGAUGGAGAGUUGAGGGAAAUAGCCAGAAAAAUGAUUUUUACUUACAUAACUUAAAUCUUUGACUCAUAUUUCCAGGCACCAAAAGAUUUCUUUGGCAGAGUAAUUAGCAACGCAGUCCAUCAGGAAGCAAAAAGCAUGACAAAUGAAAUUGUGAAAAGUGAUAUAUGGUUCAGAUUUAAGGAAGGCUACAGCAAUGCAGUAAGACGACCCAUCAAACUAAAAGAUUUAGUGUGAUAUAAUUAUUGCUUUCAUACUAUGUACCUAUAGAUUCAUUGUUAGUUUUUAAUGUUCAUAUCUUUUCAUAUUGGAUUUCUGUUCACUACCAAGGAAUAGCUAUAAAGCUUUAUAGAUUAAUAUAGUUUCUGUGAUGAUAUCAAAGAAAACGAGAAGAGUAAGAUUGGAAAAUAUAUACAGUAUGGCCUCUUUUUUUGUAUGAUAAUGCCAUAUUGAUAAGCAUAAAUGCAAUAUGUAUCAUUCAUAAAGUUAGAUGUGAAUAAUUGAAAUUUAGAGGCAAACAUCCUUGACUUAAUGGAUUAUCAUAUAUCUGACUAUACUUUCUCUGUAUUUUUCAAGAGCACACUAGUAAAAUCAUAAAGUAUAUAUUGUAUACAUUACCAAUUUGUGGAAAAUUGUACAAAAUAAAAAGUAAACGUUUUCUA